rnacentral:rRNA from 1 species
AGAGUUUGAUCAUGGCUCAGAAUCAACGCUGGCGGCGCGCUUAACGCAUGCAAGUCGAACGAGAAAGUGGAGCAAUCCAUGAGUAAAGUGGCGUACUGGUGAGUAACACGUGGGUAAUCUACCUCUGGGUGGGGAAUAACUCUGGGAAACCGGAGCUAAUACCGCAUAAGCCUGUAAAGGGAAAGGCGAAAGUCGCCGAGAGAGGAGCCCGCGGCUGAUUAGCUAGUUGGUGGGGUAAAGGCCUACCAAGGCUGAGAUCGGUAGCCGGCCUGAGAGGGCACACGGCCACACUGGCACUGAAACACGGGCCAGACUCCUACGGGAGGCAGCAGUGGGGAAUCUUGCACAAUGGGGGAAACCCUGAUGCAGCGACGCCGCGUGAGCGAUGAAGCCCUUCGGGGUGUAAAGCUCUUUCGGCAGGGACGAUAAUGACGGUACCUGCAGAAGAAGCUGCGGCUAACUACGUGCCAGCAGCCGCGGUAAUACGUAGGCAGCGAGCGUUGUUCGGAGUUACUGGGCGUAAAGCGUGCGUAGGCGGUGGUCCAAGUCUGGUGUGAAAUCUCCCGGCUUAACUGGGAGGGUGCGCCGG